rnacentral:rRNA from 1 species
UUGACCUCAAAUCAGGUAGGACUACCCGCUGAACUUAAGCAUAUCAAUAAGCGGAGGAAAAGAAACUAACCAGGAUUCCCCUAGUAACUGCGAGUGAAGCGGGAAAAGCUCAAAUUUAAAAUCUGAUAGUCUUAUGGCUGUCCGAGUUGUAAUCUAGAGAAGUGCUUUCCGUGCUGGACCG